rnacentral:rRNA from 1 species
UACGUAGGGGGCAAGCGUUGUCCGGAAUCAUUGGGCGUAAAGAGCGUGUAGGCGGCCCGGUAAGUCCGCUGUGAAAGUCCAGGGCUCAACCCUGGGAUGCCGGUGGAUACUGUCGGGCUCGAGUCCGGAAGAGGAGUGUGGAAUUCCUGGUGUAGCGGUGAAAUGCGCAGAUAUCAGGAGGAACACCAAUGGCGAAGGCAGCACUCUGGGACGUGACUGACGCUGAGGAGCGAAAGCGUGGGUAGCAAACAGG